UUCACUUCUAGUCUGUUCACUAAAUUAUUUAUUAUGUGUUUUCAUACGUUUUCAGAAAUGAGGGCUCCGUUGAAAAGGGGAAGAAUGGACACCUAAACCCUGCUUUCCAUCUGAAGGUGGUGGGACCCUCCAACAGAAGUGUUAAUCUUAAGCUACCUCACACCAGCAAGGAGGUGCUUCCUCUGAGGCCAAACCCAGCCUCCAACAGUACUCAGCCAGUUAAUAUUGUCCGUCCUCUCCGGCCGGCUCCGUCGCCAUCCCUGAGCAACAUCAAAGGACCUCGACCUCCUCCGCCUAUCAGCAAGCCACCCAAAUCUGUAGCAUCACCCCAGAAGCUCAGUCCUCCCAAGAAGCCUCUACCCCUCAACCCUUCACGCUCACCACUGAAGGUAUCAGAACAACAGCCUCGACCCCCGUUCACACCCCCCCAGAGGCCUCUUCCUCUCAGCCCUGCUCGUGGAGCACAGCCCAAACCCUCUGGUGGGGGGCUCAUGGUGAUGAUGCCCCCUUCAGUCGGACUCAAGCCUGUGGGAAAGGUGACUGCUGUUCCCCCUUUAAAGGCAUUCCGACCUGUUUCAGGACCCAAACCAAUCAUAGUUCCAUCCACUUUCCGAAAAUGACGCUUGCAGGAUUAAUUUCUUAAAGACUUCAGCCAGCCUAUUUGCACUAAAUAAGGACCCUUGGCGACUGGUAUUAUAAUGAGCUGUCUCACAAGGGAUGGAAGAGCAUGGUGCUAGGGCCCUGGAUGAGGCCUCGCAAACCGGCGUUCAAAUACAGCCGGCACAGCAGAGAUGACGUGGUUUUGCAUGAAAAUAUGCAGACUGAGAAAGUUUUGGAUAGACUAUCACAUUGCCAAAACCUUGACUUUUUAUCACCUUGCCAUUUUUUUAUACUUAUUUGUUUUAAUACCAUGCCUCUGUCUUGUUUACAUUUUUUGUUUGACUGUCAUCUAUUUGUCAAGUGCCAAAGAUGUUGUUUUCAU
ensembl:lncRNA